UACGUAGGCAGCGAGCGUUGUUCGGAGUUACUGGGCGUAAAGGGCGCGUAGGCGGCCUCCGCAAGUCAGUUGUGAAAUCUCCGAGCUUAACUCGGAAAGGUCAACUGAUACUGCGGGGCUAGAGUGCGGAAGGGGCAACUGGAAUUCUUGGUGUAGCGGUGAAAUGCGUAGAUAUCAAGAGGAACACCUGCGGCGAAGGCGGGUUGCUGGGCCGACACUGACGCUGAGGCGCGAAAGCCAGGGGAGCAAACGGG
rnacentral:rRNA from 1 species